rnacentral:lncRNA from 1 species
CGCUGCCCUGGCUUGCAGAAUUCCCACAAGGAGACUCCAGCGCGGCCUUGGAGACAGGCUCUGGACCUCGCCUUCCAAAGUGGUCCUGGCAGCCACGUUUUUACUUCACGUGGCACUUCGUGCUGAUUGAAUAAGUGGCAUCAGACGCUCUCAUCUGCAUCCAGCUGCUUCCAGUCUGCAGGCUGGAAGCCAGUCCCGCGGCCAAAGCGGCUGGAACUGGGUCCACAGUAAGUACCAGCAAGCCCGACAGACCUCCUCCUUGAGGUAGGAGGGCUCAGGAGAGCUGUUUCCCCGCACCGACCCCCCCCACAUGGGGCUCCUGGCCUCCCUUCCCUCCCUUCCCUCCCCCCUUCGUUCUUGGCUGUACUCCAGAGAUCACUUCUCAAAGGUUAAAAUCUGCAUAGCAAUCACCUGGGACCUUGUUAAACUGCACUUCCAAUUCAAUAGGUCUGGGGUUCUUGGGGCGGGGGGAUGCUGAUUUGUGGUCCCGGGACCACACCUCGAGUAAGGCCAGAACUGCCCUGUCCAACACGACAGCCACUGGCUACUGGUGGGUAUUUAAAUUAAAUUAGGGGCGCCAGGAUGGCUCAGCCAAGUUAAGCGUCUGACUCUCGAUUUGGGCUCCUGUCCUGAUCUCUCAGUGAGUUCGAGCCCCACAUCGGGCCCUGCGCUGACAGCUCGGAGCCUGGAGCCUGCUUCGGAUUCUGUGUCUCCCUCUCUGCCCCUCCCCUGCUCUCGCGCUCUCUCAAAAUAAUUAAGUAAACUUAACAUUUUUUUUUUUAUUUUUUUCUAAAUUUUUUUUUUCAACGUUUAUUUAUUUUUGGGACAGAGAGACACAGAGCAUGAACGGGGGAGGGGCAGAGAGAGAGGGAGACACAGAAUCGGAAACAGGCUCCAAGCCAUCAGCCCAGAGCCCGACGCGGGGCUCGAACUCACGGACCGCGAGAUCGUGACCUGGCUGAAGUCGGACGCUUAACCGACUGCGCCACCCAGGCGCCCCAAACUUAACAUUUUUAAAUACAUUGAAUGAAAUAAAAAAUUCCGUUCCUCAGUCGCACUGGCCACAUUUCCAGGGCUCAGCAGCCACGUGUGGCCAGGGUCUGUGGCACAGGGAACGUGGGUCCAGAACAUCAUCCCAGGAAGCUUUGUGAACUGCUGCUGUCCAGGGUGAAGGUGUGGGAAUCUAACCCCCGAAGCGUGUGUCGGUCCCAGCNAACGGGGGAGGGGCAGAGAGAGAGGGAGACACAGAAUCGGAAACAGGCUCCAGGCUCCGAGCCAUCAGCCCAGAGCCUGACACGGGGCUUGAACUCACAGACCGUGAGAUCGUGACCUGGCUGAAGUCGGACGCUUAACCGACUGCGCCACCCAGGCGCCCCAACAUUUUUUUUUUUUAUAAAAUUUUUUUUUUCAACGUUUUUAUUUAUUUUUGGGACAGACAGAGACAGAGCAUGAACGGGGGAGGGGCAGAGAGAGAGGGAGACACAGAAUCGGAAACAGGCUCCAGGCUCCGAGCCAUCAGCCCAGAGCCUGACACGGGGCUUGAACUCACAGACCGUGAGAUCGUGACCUGGCUGAAGUCGGACGCUUAACCGACUGCGCCACCCAGGCGCCCCAAACUUAACAUUUUUAAAUACAUUGAAUGAAAUAAAAAAUUCCGUUCCUCAGUCGCACUGGCCACAUUUCCAGGGCUCAGCAGCCACGUGUGGCCAGGGUCUGUGGCACAGGGAACGUGGGUCCAGAACAUCAUCCCAGGAAGCUUUGUGAACUGCUGCUGUCCAGGGUGAAGGUGUGGGAAUCUAACCCCCGAAGCGUGUGUCGGUCCCAGCUCCCCUGCAGUGGCCGAGGGCAGACAAAACUCUGCGAGGCAGCAAAUGCUUGAGGACCAUGUGUAUUCUGUGCAGGUGGAGUCCUCGGUCUUCCACGGGUUUAUUCCUCUUCCGCGAGGCCAGGCUCACUGCUGUAUGUGCGUCUUGCUGAGUUGUGCCGGUGGGAAGUGUGGGAGACAAGGGGCGGGGAAGCAGUGUGUGGGGAUGCGACCGCCUUCCCCUCCCCCUCUCUUUGGCUAGGGGGUCUGGAAUAUGGAGGGGAGCUCGCAGGCCCUUUGUCUGCUGCUUCCACUGCUCUGACCAUCUUAAUUCCCGAGGAGGUGGGGAGAAGGGAAAUUCUUCUUCAGAGUUGAUUCUGCACACAUUGGACAAAUAAAGCAGAGAACCCCGGCCCCCUCCUCCCCACGAACCCUGCACAGCACAAAGAGCUCGGGCAGGGGAAGGAGGGAGGGUGGGGAGGUUUUCCAAGAAUGCCUUUCAUGUGGACCCGGAGCUGUCGUUUUCCGGCAGUUCUGUGAACCAGGACCCGGGGCGAUUUCCCAACGUGCAGUUGGCGAACGUGGGGCCAGCUGUAGCAAUCACAGGGAGAGGCGCGGGACCCGCACGGAGCCCAGGGCCCAGGAAGCUCCCCCCGGCCGCCUCAGAGCUCAGGGCCCCUCCCUGUCCGGCUGAGCAGUGAGGGGCUGGCCUGAGGCUGCCGACUAGCAGCCUCCUUCCUCGGGCGGGCGGAGACUGCAGACACAUUGGCACAAGAGCCUGAUGUCUGUGGAUUCCCGUGCAAGGUCCCUGCCGUCUGUUCCCCUUGUUAAGUAAGCUUAACCCUUCCGCUAACCAGUAGGUAUGCAGCUGGUGCCCACGUCAGAAGAGCCUGACUCUGGCCCUUACCACGCUCAAAGCCCUGUGGCUUUGAGCAAGGCUCCUCUCCUCUCUGGGCCUCAGUUGACUGCCAGAGGAGGACAAUGCCUGGUUUUCAGGGUGGUUCAGCGUUUGGUACACAGUAGCAGGUGCCCGAUGAAUGUCAGUCCCCCGGCUCCAUACUUGUAAGGCAGUGGUGGUGACAGUGUGCAGAGGGGGACAGACAUUCACAUGGAAAAGUAUGAAAUGACCACUGUGACAGAGGAAACAAGGAGAGCUUUGGAGAAUAAUGAGAAUCUGUCCUGGGGCUGAUGAGUCAGGGAGGGCCCACUUCCCCAAGGGAUGUGCUGACUGGGCUGAGAAGUUAACCAGGCAAACUCAGGAGGAGGGAAGACCAGCUAAGCUGAGGGAACAGCGUGUGCAAAGAUCCUGUGGCAGGACAGUACUUGGCAGUCCACGGGGGCAGAGGAAGGACCAGGGUGGCUGAAUGGCAGAGUCAGGGGCACAGAGAAGGAAGGGAGAUGAGGGGAGACUGUGUGUCUGUCCCCGAUGCCCCUGUGCUACAUGGUGGAGGCCAACGCUCGAUGCCCCUGCCUCUGUGAGUUCACACCUACUGAAACAGGGUGGUGACUGUCAAAGUUCCCUUCCAGUAUUCUUUGAUGUGUCAAAUGUGUCCUUGCGUCUGUGGCCGUGCCCUGUAAGAAAUAAAUAUGGCUGGGGCGCCUGGGGAGCUCAGUCGGUUAAGCGUCCAACCUCAGCUCAGGUCAUGAUCUCACAGUUCUUGGGUUCAAGCCCCGCGUCAGGCUCUGCGCUGACGGCUUGGAGCCUGGAGCCUGCUUCCAAUUCUGUGUCUCCCUGUCUCUGCCCCUCCCCUGCUCACGCUGUCUCUCUCUCAAACAUAAAUAAACAUUAAAAAAAGAGAAAAAAGGAAUGAAGCUGGCAUCCAAGUCAUCCCGUUGGAAUUUCUAAAACCACUGAGCUGACACACGCAGCCCAUCUGCAGGGAGCUGAGGGUCCCGGGGAGGUCCAGGGAUGGUGACGUGAGAAUGAAUGAGUCCAGCCCGAGCAGAAAUGCCCCUGUUCUGCAAAUGAUCUGCUCUCUCCAGACUGACCACUGGCCUCUUGCACGAGAAGUGGAAUGUCCAUAAAAGUCACGCCCGUUUCCUUCCGAUUGCACAAAGGGUUUGCGUCAGGCGACCCAGUUCUCUGCUGCCUUCACUCCUUCCGGAUGAGAGCGUACGACAGGCCGGGCUGGGUCAGCGAGCAGGGUGUUGAUGCCCGCGGCCGUUCUGACGGGGCCUCGCCCACGGGAGUGGCCCAAUCCAGGAACUGGAAACCCUUGACUGGGGAAGAGGAAGCCACAUGCCCAGUCGUGGGUCCAUCUUCGUUCUUUACCCCUGGACGGUGAUGCACUUUCCUGGCACAUCUCAUGGCCAGUGGCCCGAUGGUGGUGACUGUGGUGGGAGCAGCAGCAUAGCAGGAAGUAGCACGUAAGUACUGGGUGGCUGUUUCAACAGGAAUGACCCUUAGUGUACCAAGUCUUCAUUAAUCUACGGCCGAACUAAAUUUCACUGAGGAGCCUCCUUCUAGCAGGCGAUGGAAGCAUAAUCUCGGUCAGUUUGGGAUCUCCCGUCCCUGUGUUGUCCGACCGCACCGAAGCAGAGGAAGCGCCUGGAGAGCCACGGGGCUGGGGUGCAACACGCAGUCUGGCCCUCAGGGCGGUCAGGGUCCGCGUGGGCAUCAUCUCCAUGGCAGCCUGGCCUUGGCAACACGGCGGGAAGCAGGGUGGGGAGGAGAGCGGGUCCUGAAGCCAGGCUGCCUGGGUUCGGCUCCCAGCGUCCCCUUCCUGGCCCUGGGACCUUAAGCGAGUAAGUUAGCCUCCUACAGGCUCAGUUUCCUCGUCUGUAAGACGGUUCACAGUCGCGUCUGCCCGACCGGGCUGCUGCGAGGGCUCGACGAGCCGGUGCGCGUGCAGUGCUUUGGGACAAACGCUGCAUGUGACCCACACUCACUCCUCUGUGUGCCCGGGUUUGAUGGGGUCACCCCCACCUGCACCCUUUCCCGGUGGCCUGGCCUUUCGGUUCCCAGACGCCAGGUCCUGUUCAGGUCACCUGUAGGCACGUGGGACAGUGGGGCGGUGGCCGCAGAGUGUGGGGAAGGCUCUCCCGGACCCCAGUCGGGACGCACCCAGUCCACGCUGGGCACUUGACCUGGAAGGGGCAGAGCACGGGCUCCCGUCCGUGGGCCCCCAGCGCCCGGUUUUCAUUUCCCUCUGCCUCCCACCCACCCCGCGGCUGUGAUGCCUUUUCUCCUCCGGGGAGCUGAGACCACCCCUCAGUCACCCCCCGGGGUCUCGCCCUCUUUGUCCCCAGGGCUCUGGUGCGUCAUCUCUCCCCCGGAGCAGCACAGGACACAUCCUCUCCGCGGUGGAACGGAGUGAGGGCCGAGGGGCAGAAGGAAAUGUCGGGAACGGGGGACACGGGGACCCAGUUAAGAUGUCUGAUGUUCUCCCCGCGCACUGUGGCGCCACCUUGCUGAGGAUUCGACCCCGGGGUGGGGGCCUGGUCACGGGAACAGAGGUAUGAGGGCUGUAGCCCCCACCCCGCCCCGCCCACCCCAGAGACACCGGCAGAGCCCUCUGGGUCAGAGGCAGGGGCACCUGAGAACCCCCACGGCGUGUCAGGAAGCGUGCUCUCAGGCUUAGCCAGCUGGUCCAGCCAAGCACUGCCCGCAGGUGCACCCGGCACCCUAGGCCCUCGGCCAGAUGCCGAUGGCGGCAUUGAAUGUGCUUCCUGCUAAGCAGCCUAAUCAAGCUGUUUCUGGUCGCACAAUGGGACUCAACCCUGGCCAACCCUGGCGGAAAGGCCAGCUUCAUAUAUCCUUCUGGAGCCAGUUUCCAUGGAGACCCCCUGCUCUUCCUUUCCAUUCCAGCCAUGUGGUUCUCCUCACUGGGCCUUGAACAAACCAUGCUCGCAAGCACCCCGGGGCCUUUGCACUCCCUAGUCCUUCUGUGCAGACAGCCCUUCCCUCAGGUACCUGCAUGGCUCCAGGUCUACCUCCUUCAGGUCUUGGCUCACUUGUCAUCUUAGCGGUGAGGCCUUCCCCGAUCUCCUGUUUUAAACUGUCUCCUCUCCCUUCCUUAGGGUGAGGGUUAAGGUCCCCCUGCACAAGAGCAGGGACUUUGUCUUGUUCACUGCUCUACAAAUGAAGGACCUCGCAGGGGCUUUCUGCCUUCUUUGCGUUGUAAACCCGAAGCAAGAAAGCCCAGAGAACUUAAGCGACUUGCCCAAGACCACACAGCUGUUAAGAAAAGGGGAAUCUGUCCUGGUUAAUUCGUAUCGAACUUGUUCCUUGAUCACAUCCUGUUCCCUCGCAUUGUCACUACCUAUCCUUUCCUCCUUUUGAUCUCCAGCUGCAGAAACCUCCACCCUUCCAGGCACCCUGGGGCUUCUGGGGAGGACCCUUGGUACCCUCACCGGGAGGGACGAGCCCCUGCUUGGUGCCCUGUACCUUGGGGGGGCACUUAGCAAAGACCCUCACAGUUGUGUGCUGGGCCUUGUGUGGCCCCAGGGCGGAGGCUGUGUUUCCCAUCCGUGAACACCAGCCUGCAGGAGGGAGUGGGAGCACGACAGCCCCCCUCAGCCUCAGCCCUCCCACGUGCCCCCCCCAUACCCAUUUCUACCCAGAACUUGAGGGCAGGAGGAGGGGCUCAGAGCCAGGACAGAGGGAACAGAGGGAAGGAACAGAGGAUGACAUUUGCCAACCUCUCUAGGUUGUCUUUCUUUAUGGGCGGGAUUCUUUGAACCCCCCGCAGACCUGCUUCUGCGUUUGCAGGAGCUGUUUGGUGCUUCUUUCUAGAAGGGAUGGUGGGAUGCUGUCUACACCCAUUUCAAGUUCAUUUCUGGUCCUGCGAGCAAGCUGUUAACUAGUCCUCCCCGGAUGGAUCCCCUCUUCUGCCCCGCAGUCCCCACCCGCAAUGGGAGGGUCGGGCCCAAGUCAAACUCUCCACCCUGUAGCCGGGAGGCUGGCAGGUGCACCAGAGGGCAGACCCCAGCGGGGCAGGAUGGGGAGAGGCCUCAGGCCUCCCAGCCCCAGAACAAUUCAAGCCCCCCCGCUGACAGCCCAGAUAGGGGAAGCAAACCCGCUGGGCCCUCCAGCUUGGAUUUCACAUAAUGAGCCUUUGGAAUCCGGGAAGUGAUUAAAAGCCCACUGGGGAGGGGCCACCUACCGGUUCUGGAAGGUGUGGGGCUCACCAGGAAGCUGCACUUAGACGAGAAAGAGGAAAAGCACAGAUUCCGAAAUAGCCCAGUUCAGAAGUGUAGGGCCAGGGAGUUGUGUGACGGAGACGGGGCAGGAAGAGUGGCCCUGGGGUGAGACGGGUCAGGCCGGGGAGUCGUGUGAUGGAGACCGGGUGGGGACGGUGGCCCUGGGGUGAGACCUGUUGGGCCCUUAUGGGGGCAGGCGGGGAGGGGGGCGGGGAGGGCAGGGACUCAGGGGCCUCCGCAGGCCGCAGCAGCCCCGCUGUGCUUACUGAGUCAAUCAGGUGCCUGCUCUAAAACCAGAGGGCUGUAGAGAACCUGAGCGUCACAGUCAAGCUGUCUCCUACUGGUGCGACCACCAGGGCAGAGAGAGGGAGAGUGGGCUGCCUGGUGUCACACAGGCUGGGGGGGGACUCGGCCAGGCCUAGGUCUCAGGCCCCCUGCCACCCCCUCAGAUUAGAGUGACGAGAGAACUAAGCCAGCCUGGAACCCCACGCGCUCACUCCCCAUCUCAAGAGCUGAGCCAUUUGAAGCCUCUUGCUGGGUGCUGGGUCAGGUGGGGGUAACCGGUAAGAGCCCUAAGUGCGGUCACUGUCCUGGGGCCAUUACCUCUCACCCCCUAGACUAGUCCUAGGAACCGUGUUCUUUAUUUUGCAGGUGAGGCAACUGUGGCUCAGAGAGGUUAAGUCACUUGCCCAAAGUAACAAAGCUAGAAAGCAGUGGAGCUGUGAUCUGUACCCAGGCCAGCCGGACACCAAGCCUCAGCCCUCCCAGCGUGCUGGGCUCGGGGAAGGUGAUGUGGGACAGUUGAGGCAGGAGUUGUCGUACAAGGUUAGGAGGAACUUUGGGAACUCUAGCAAGGAAGGGAGAAUAUUGCGUCUUUGAGGCAAAGCUUCCUCUUAGUCACAGAGGUAUGGCCACCAGGCCCUCAGGCGGUCCCUUCAUCUUGCUGGGCAGGGCCCUGAAAAGCCUGCUCCUUUCUGCUCAAACUGUACAAACAGAGUCUCGGGGCAGGAAGACCCAGUUUGUAAAACAGAAAGCUUCUCAGAGAUGGGGCUCCAGAGGAAGGUCCGAGGGAUUGCCCCUGGGUUUGUCAGGGGGAGGCGAAGGAGUUCGGGGCAGCUGGCGACAAGAUGCCAGCCUGGGGCGUCCAGGGGGCCCUGGCCAGCGUGAGGCUCAAGGAACGGGUGGGCUGGGGCCGGAGUCCAGCGGGGCCUUGGGCCGGGGCCAGAAGCCGAUCGUGCUAAACAAAGCAUUACACAACCGGCUCAGUAACUGCUUCAGUCGAGUGGGUCAAACUAAUUCCUUCCAGGGGCGCCUGGGUGGCGCAGUCGGUUAAGCGUCCGACUUCAGCCAGGUCACGAUCUCGCGGUCCGUGAGUUCGAGCCCCGCGUCGGGCUCUGGGCUGAUGGCUCGGAGCCUGGAGCCUGUUUCCGAUUCUGUGUCUCCCUCUCUCUCUGCCCCUCCCCCGUUCAUGCUCUGUCUCUCUCUGUCCCAAAAAUAAAUAAAUGUUGAAAAAAAAAAUUAAAAAAAAAACUAAUUCCUUCCAGCUCGGGAGCUCUACUUGGGGGCGGCGGGAGCGGGCAGGCCCCUGAGUUCCGGGACCCUGUGUCCAUGUGGGUUUAAUUAGUUCCAUGGUCACUGCCCCCCUCGGGUACAGCCUUGCAUGCCAGGCCCCCGGCAGCUGCCUGGUGCCCUUAGAGGAACCAGGAAAAGAGGAGGGUCCCUCAGGGCAGUGGGCCAGCGUGCAGGCAGGACUGGACUGCUCGCCCAGGGCAGCCACGGCCGGGAGUCUGGGGCCGGCAGAGCGGUGACACAGAUCCAAAGACUCGAGCGGGAGCUGUGUGGUGGGCCCGGGUCAGGACCAGGAGAGGCUGCGCGUGGGAAAAGGAGGCCAGCAACUUUCAGGGUGUGAGGCAAGUCAAGCCAGAGUGUAAGGGACACAAGGGUGUGUUUGGCCAAAUUUGGGGCUCUGCCAGCAUCACAGACGACGGAACAGAGGCUCCCGGCAGGACUGAACUGUGGCGGGCAGUCGGGACUGGAGGCCUCUGGGAAAAGUCACAGAGCUCGGAGAAUCCCAGUACCGGCUCCGCAGCAUUAGUAAAAAUGCAGAUUCCCUGGCCCCACCUGAGGCCUACAGAAUGAGAAAUUCUGAGGGUGGGACCCAGCGAUCCGUGUUUCACACAGACCAGCAGGUGACGCUGACGUGCGAUAACGUUGGAGAACCGACGGACGAUUCACAGUGUGGGCCACAGACCAGCAACGUCAGACCACCCGAGAGCUUGUUGGAAAUGCAGGAUCUCAGGCCUGGCCCCAGACCUACUGAAUCAGACCCUGCAGUUUGACAAGACCUCAGGGCGUUUGCAUGUGCCUUCUGGCCGGACAAGGCCCGCCCCUGAGCUCCGGCCCUGGGCUUCCUUGGUCUGAGCGUGACUGGGUCUGAGAGACAGGAACACGAGGAUGAACGAGAAGGAGACCAUGCCUCUCCAGACGCAGGCGAGAGCUGUCCUCGGAUCUUCAUGAAUCCAGUUCACUCCCAGAAAGGGUCACCAAAAAAAACCCUACCACCACCACCACCACCACCACCACCAACCGAAAACCCUGAUGGCUUCUGAGCCUGCAAAGAUGCCCAAUGCAGACGCUGUGCAGAAAGCAGGUCGCAGUAAGACAAACAGCCCAACAGCUGCUACUCCCCUUCCACGGGGGCCAGCUGGGCCGGCUGGGGGAGGCUGCUCUCAGCCCUCUCGGCAGGGGUGAUUUAAGGGGACGCUGGGCAGGCCGGAGUGCCCCCUGCGGAGACGCUCAUGAGGAGACAAAGCUGCAGACGGGCGGCCGGACCGGUCGUCAGGUGUGCCCAGGGUCACCCAGGGUCCCAUUCUUUCUGGGGGAAACCGCAGAGCAGUGGAGAUGAAUUAUAGGAGAGGUGUCCCGGCAGAUAGGAACGUCUCACCCUCACGACACCAGAGGGAAUCUCUUUCGUCCCCAUCCCCCUCCGAGCUGGGGAUUCUACCAGACUGGCCUUUCCACCCCCUUUAACAGGGGCUGUGGAUUGGUAUUUGUCUGUGAGGGUCGAUAUGUGCCGGGCUCCGGGCUGAGUACCCCGUAUGUGCGUUUUCAUUGAAUUCGUCCCACAAUUCCCUUAGGUAGGUACCGCCGUUUUAGGUUUCCACUAAUAUUUUGGUAUUUACUGAACACUGAUAGAUAUUUACUAUUCUACAGGUGGAAAAAGUAAGACUAGAAGCGGGUGGCUCUCCAAAGUCAGCUGAGGGGAAGGAAGAGGCCGCCAUCGACGCCAGGCUCUCCGGCCGGCGUUACACCUUUGCUACUCAGAGAACGGGACCAGCCGCCUCAGCAUCAUUUGAGAGCUUGCUGUGCAGAAAUCUCUGGCUUCACCCAGAUUUACAAACUCAGACUCUGCAUCUUAACAAGGCCUGCAGGAUUGGUACGCACACCACGGGCCGCGGGUUCCCCCUCACGUGAGGAACACAGCUGAUUUGACUCGGAGGCCCUUCUCGGGUCCUUUCCGGGAAGCAGGGUGUGAGGACCCCGGUGGCAGUCACCAGCUUCUACCGCGACACAAGAGAGCGAGAGAGAGAGAGUGAGAGAGAGAGAGAGAGAGAGGAAGGGAAGUGUGUGCCCUCGCGAUGGCCGUCUUCACGGACGGGUUGGCCCUGUCUUCCCAAGGUGAAGUACCAUCCGCGCUUUCUCUGCAGACUCCGGAGAACGGUCCCGCAGGCGCCCCUGGACUACAGUGGCAAGAAGGUACUUCUGAGUUUCUGUCUCCCUGGGGCCCAGCAACCUCUCGUGGGUGACGGUAAUCCUGCCCACUUCCUCGUGGGCGUGCGUUUAGGACCAUCAGGGUGGGAAGCAGUUUGCCGGCUCAGAGCGCGACAGCGUAGGAUGCGAUCCUCGCGUCACCUAGGCCAGGUGCCUGAUGCCUCCGCCCUGCGAGGUCACCUCAUGUCGCCCCUCGCUGGGAGGCCCCAUCGGGGUCCCCCCUGCCACCGCCAUGUUUUCUGCUCCCUCUACUCCCACACUAACCUGAGGGCCUCAUGGGCCUGCCGUCCUGCCUUGCGAUACAAGUACCCGCAUACGGUUCUGCCCUUUCUAAUAGGACACGGUACUUC